rnacentral:rRNA from 1 species
GUGACUGAGUGGCGGACGGGUGAGUAACGCGUGGGUAACCUGCCUCAUACAGGGGGAUAACAGUUAGAAAUGACUGCUAAUACCGCAUAAGACCACAGGGUCGCAUGACCUGGUGGGAAAAACUCCGGUGGUAUGAGAUGGACCCGCGUCUGAUUAGGUAGUUGGUGGGGUAACGGCCUACCAAGCCGACGAUCAGUAGCCGACCUGAGAGGGUGACCGGCCACAUUGGGACUGAGACACGGCCCAAACUCCUACGGGAGGCAGCAGUGGGGAAUAUUGCACAAUGGGGGAAACCCUGAUGCAGCGACGCCGCGUGAGCGAAGAAGUAUUUCGGUAUGUAAAGCUCUAUCAGCAGGGAAGAAAAUGACGGUACCUGACUAAGAAGCACCGGCUAAAUACGUGCCAGCAGCCGCGGUAAUACGUAUGGUGCAAGCGUUAUCCGGAUUUACUGGGUGUAAAGGGAGCGUAGACGGCUGUGUAAGUCUGAAGUGAAAGCCCGGGGCUCAACCCCGGGACUGCUUUGGAAACUAUGCAGCUAGAGUGUCGGAGAGGUAAGUGGAAUUCCCAGUGUAGCGGUGAAAUGCGUAGAUAUUGGGAGGAACACCAGUGGCGAAGGCGGCUUACUGGACGAUGAC